AGUGAACGCUGGCGGUAGGCCUAACACAUGGAAGUCGAACGGCAGCGCAGUAAGAGCUUGCUCUUACGGGUGGCGAGUGGCGGACGGGUGAGGAAUACAUCGGAAUCUACUUUUUCGUGGGGGAUAACGUAGGGAAACUUACGCUAAUACCGCAUACGACCUACGGGUGAAAGCAGGGGAUCUUCGGACCUUGCGCGAUUGAAUGAGCCGAUGUCGGAUUAGCUAGUUGGCGGGGUAAAGGCCCACCAAGGCGACGAUCCGUAGCUGGUCUGAGAGGAUGAUCAGCCACACUGGAACUGAGACACGGUCCAGACUCCUACGGGAGGCAGCAGUGGGGAAUAUUGGACAAUGGGCGCAGGCCUGAUCCAGCCAUACCGCGUGGGUGAAGAAGGCCUUCGGGUUGUAAAGCCCUUUUGUUGGGAAAGAAAAGCAGCAGGUUAAUACCCCGCUGUUCUGACGGUACCCAAAGAAUAAGCACCGGCUAACUUCGUG
rnacentral:rRNA from 1 species